AGUCAGAGGGGCCCAGAAAUGGAGCUCUGUUGUGUUUUCAUUGAUUUAGAGACCUGGAUGGUUGGAGAGCUCUGAGCAUGCGUCUGAUGCAGAACCAGUUCGACAUGAUUCUACGCCACGCUAACAGACACAGACCUUCAGAGCGAAUUGACCUGGAGGAGCAGAGGGGUAGCUGAAGGAGACAUCUUGGAAAACAAUUCUCCCCUCCAGCUUCUCCGGACACAAGUCUCCUUCCUUCUUGCACUUUGGUUCCCUGUCCAGCCUUACCCUCCGACAGAGGAGAUACACCGCGCCGUAGACCCCCGAGCGCCUCCUGAUGGAACACAGCGUCUCCAGAGAAGCGUGAUACCGCCUCAGCUCC